UACGUAGGGUGCGAGCGUUGUCCGGAAUCAUUGGGCGUAAAGAGCGCGUAGGCGGUCCGGUAAGUCCGCUCUGAAAGUCCGGGGCUCAACCCCGGGAGGCGGGCGGAUACUGUCGGGCUAGAGUCCGGAAGAGGCGAGUGGAAUUCCUGGUGUAGCGGUGAAAUGCGCAGAUAUCAGGAGGAACACCGGUGGCGAAGGCGGGUCUCUGGGCCGAUACUGACGCUGAGGAGCGAAAGCGUGGGGAGCGAACAGG
rnacentral:rRNA from 1 species